rnacentral:rRNA from 1 species
AGUGAACGCUGGCGGUAGGCCUAACACAUGCAAGUCGAACGGCAGCACAGUAAGAGCUUGCUCUUACGGGUGGCGAGUGGCGGACGGGUGAGGAAUACAUCGGAAUCUACUUUUUCGUGGGGGAUAACGUAGGGAAACUUACGCUAAUACCGCAUACGACCUACGGGUGAAAGCAGGGGAUCUUCGGACCUUGCGCGAUUGAAUGAGCCGAUGUCGGAUUAGCUAGUUGGCGGGGUAAAGGCCCACCAAGGCGACGAUCCGUAGCUGGUCUGAGAGGAUGAUCAGCCACACUGAGACUGAGACACGGUACAGACUCCUACGGGAGGCAGCAGUGGGGAAUAUUGGACGAUGGGCGCAAGCCUGAUCCAGCCAUACCGCGUGGGUGAAGAAGGCCUUCGGGUUGUAAGGCCCUUUUGUUGGGAAAGAACAGCAGCAGGUUAAUACCCCGCUGUUCUGACGGUACCCAAAGAAUAAGCACCGGCUAACUUCGUG